GGCGCGAGAUAACUCUCUCUAAGGAACUCGGCAAAAUGGCCCCGUAACUUCGGGAGAAGGGGUGCCAUCGCAAGAUGGCCGCAGUGAAAUGAUCCAAGCGACUGUUUACCAAAAACACAGGUCUCUGCAAAGUCGAAAGACGACGUAUAGGGGCUGACGCCUGCCCAGUGCCGGAAGGUUAAGGAAGUUGGUCAGCGAAAGUGAAGCUAACGACUGAAGCCCCGGUGAACGGCGGCCGUAACUAUAACGGUCCUAAGGUAGCGAAAUUCCUUGUCGGGUAAGUUCCGACCCGCACGAAAGGCGUAACGAUUUGGAUGCUGUCUCGGAGAGAGACUCGGCGAAAUAGGAUUGUCUGUGAAGAUACGGACUACUUGCACCCGGACAGAAAGACCCUAUGAAGCUUUACUAUAACUUGGAAUUGGGUUCGGGCUUCUCUUGCGCAGGAUAGGUGGGAGACUAUGAUGAUGUCCUUGUGGGG
rnacentral:rRNA from 1 species